ACACCGCUCGCUCGCUCGCUCUCUCUAUUUCUCUCUCGCUUCUUCUCCGCAUAUCCGACGCUCUUCGCGACUCCGCCUAAUUUUCCCCCUUUCCUGAAUCGAUUGCGCGCAGGGAGUUCUUGGAAUUAGGACUGCUGUGAACAUUGAGGGUUGUGGAUUGAGGAGAAAUUGAUUACUUGGGGCAGAAUGAUAGGAAAAAAGGCGGUGCUAACAUACAAACGUAAGCGAUUCUCGUCCCAGUCUCGUCAUGGUGAUGGAAUUACAGCUGAUUCAUAUUCAAGGUCUUCAAGUGGUGUACCUUUAGAGAUAUCAAGCCAAGAAGCGGAAUCGGGUGCUGACAAUGAGAAGCUGAACAAAUGCAAUGCGUGUUGCUCUAGAUGUGGUUUUGUUGAUGUCAAUGAGAACCUGCUGAGCUGCUUUAGAUGCUUUAGGAGUUAUCAUCUGCGAUGCAUCGACCCCCUUUCAAAGUGUAUUCCUCAGGAAAAAUGGCAAUGCUCAACUUGUGUUCAUGAAUUUGAAGAGUCUAUGCAGAAGCAAGUUCGAGAGACUAAUAAAACAAAGAAAAAUAAAAGCAUUGAAGAUUCUGAGAUCAGGAAAAUUAAUCUUCAGUCACAUAAAAUGUUGUUAAGUGCAAGACCAUCUGGGGACAGCUCUACAAAGACAAGUUCCUCUGCAAAUGAUGCAUCUCUUAACAAAAUAAAAAACAUUACCCGGACAGAUGAUUCAUACACUGAUUCUGAUUCAGCAUGCAAAGUCACAUGCAUUGAAGGGAACUCAAGGUCUAAAGAUAUAGACUUGGGGAUUGUAGGAAGAUCGAGUUCCAUAUGUUUGGGUUCAUUAACUGAAAGAAAAAAUAGUUCUGGAUUGGCAGAGGGUUGUGUUUCUGUUUUGCUGAAUUCAGAUAAAAGAAGCAGUGUUAUAUGCAAUGUUAAACAUCCAAAAGAGAAUUGCAAUACUCCCUUGAUUACCUUUUCUAGGAGAGUUAAGAAAAAGCAAGGUGUGGGUGAGAAAUUUAUGGGAGGGAAUUUAAGGGCUGAGCAGACACAGUGUUCAACAGGCACCUGGAGCAAUUCUCAAAUAGGACCUAGUUGUAGAUGUGAAGGGUCAACUCAAAAUUGCAGCUUCAUGGAUCGUUCAACUAAAGUUGUUUUACCAGAACAAGCAGACUGUAGCCCAUUGCAUGUGGUUCAACAAGCCAUGAUAGCUGAUGUCGGAAAAGAUGCUGCAGCAGAACCUGCUCCUGAAGUAGGUGCUGAAACAAAAAGUGCUGGGGAGACUGGUGAGAAAUUAUCUCUUCGGUGUUCUGAGAUUCCAGAGAAACCAAAUUUGAGUCAUCGGUAUCCAUUGCCUUCCCAACCUGCAGGACAUGUUCCUGAAGAUCCAUCAGAAAAACUUGCAGCUGCAUAUACAACUGGUGUCAUCAGAGACUCCAUUUUAGUGCAUGAAUCUAGAGGAUCAGUCUCAUCAGGCAAUAAGUUAGUUAAUACCAUAAAGAGCUCUGACAAAGCAAUCACAUUAUCUGGCAUUUCAAAGGACAGGAGUCACCUGGGAAAUUUAGAAUUUUCUGUUUCCCUUCCUGCAUCUACUAGUCCAACCAACAUAGAAUCAAGUAAAUCAUCAUUGAUUGUCAUGCCUGAAAAUCUUCUGAAGUGUCAAAGUUUAUCAACUCGAAGUUGUGGCAUCGUUAUGGCAGAUAAGGAAACUGAUGGAAAAGUUGAUGAACUUAAAUGGCUUGAAACACUUCAAAAAGAACUGCAGGUUACAAACAAAGGAAAAAAUAUAUGCUCAUCUGUGGAGCAAAGUGUUAUCAACUGCCAACAAGCAUCUAAUGGAAGAGCUUCCCCUAUGGUACCAGUUAGUUUAUCCGCGCAGAGUCCACAUGAUCAGGAUGCAUCAAGGGAGUUCAAGAAUCAGACAACUGGAUCACAAGAAAGGGCAUUUCUGACAAAAUCAGUUGAGACUGACUAUGAAAAGCAAAAACAAGGAGAGACAACAGAUAAGUCUUCCUUUUCUGCUGGUUUUCUAGGUCUGCCAUUGAAUUUGGAGGGACCAGAUGUCUCUGUUAAAAAUUUUCAGAGCAUGCAUUCAUCAUUGAAUUUUAGUAUUAAAGACAGUGUUCAUGAAUUCAAUAAGACACUUCCAUGGCCUAGCAUUAAUGAGAAUACAUCUGUAUCAAAGCAAAAACAGAUAGCUGACAAUGUUAAACGUGGCUCACAGAUGUUAGAAGAGAGGCCAGCCUCUCUGUUAGAUAAGUUUAAGAGGAAUGCAAAUGAAUGGUCAGAAGAAGAAUUAGAUUUUCUCUGGAUUGGUGUGAGAAGAUAUGGGGUUAACAAUUGGAAUGCAAUGUUAAGGGAUCCAAAACUUUGCUUCAUGAAAUCAAGAGUCGCAGAGGACCUAGCUGAGAGGUGGAAUUUGGAACAAAGAAAGCUUCUGAAUGGCACACUAUUCCAGCCAGGAAGACCGUCUGGACCAGAGUUGCUGCCUUUUACGAAUGAUUCUUGGGUAACAAAACUAAUGCCAAGUAACUAUUAUGGUGGGAAUGGUGCCUGGUCCGCACGUUCAGAAUUCCCUACGCUCACAGCUGAGCCUAAACUUUCACUAGGAGGCAUAUAUCUUCAGAUUGAGAACACCCUCAAGAGAAAUCCACUUCAUUCAUUAGGCCUAGGUACAGUUAAUCCUCUGACAAGUGCAAGUCUGUCCCCAGAUUCCAUCAGCAGCAGCUUCCCAGUAGGUUCUUCUUACCCAGGGUCAGGGAUAAGUCACCAGAAGUCUUUCAAUGCUCACAACACAAGGUAUGACUAUGAAUCAUCUUCUGCGCGCCAAAAGUCAGUUGAAAUUUUGACUCAGGAUCACCAAACAACCAGCCUGCCAGCAAGUAGCAAUCUCCCCCAUUGGCUCAGGGAUGUGGUGAUCCCGCAACCAAAGCCAAGCAAUUUAACUUUGCCUCCUAUUUCCCUUUCACAUUCUGCAAGCAUGCUUAAUAAUGACCCAAGAGUAGAUCCACCUGCUCCACCUAAAGAUUCUCGGCGACGGGGAAUUCUAAAGAGAAAGAACAUCACAUCUGGUAAUCAAGCCAGCAGUGCGAGGGUGUCGGACAAUCCAGCAUCUAUGAAUGAGCAUCAGGUGGGAAAUCAACCAGCUGUUCUUCCAACCUUGGGUGUGAUAUCUCAGACACCAACGCCGGUUAAUACAAGUUCAAAUCUGGAUGGUGUAUCCAAUUUGAAUAAGAAAAGUUCAUGUCCUGCUGGACCAAGUAACUUGGUUGUUAUUGAUAGUGAGGCUUCUUCUGAGGAGACGAUAUCGGACAGCUAGUUCUGUAAGGAAUGGCAUUGCAGUUGCAUCUAUUUGAUAAUUUGCAAGAAAAUGGAUUGUGUGCCAGCAUUUGCAUGAGAUAAAAUACAGCUAAUUGUUGAAGAUGGCUCGAAGGUUUCUGCUGUGGGCAUCAUUGUGGCUACUUUCAUUCAGAUAUCAUCUAUCCUAAUGACAUUCAAAACUUUUUAUGGUAAUCUCUGAUUAAUGUUUCCAUAAUCAUAAGCACUUGAAUGCUUUCUAAUGCCUGAGCUGGAUUUGAUGGACACAAUGACUUGGAAUUUGAGACUAUUUGCUUCUGCUCAA